rnacentral:lncRNA from 1 species
CUUUCUUAAUCUGCAACCCUUCCCACAACAGCUGGUCUUCAAAUACAUCCCUUCAUCUAAGACAAAUUAACACAACAGCUUAACGUUUAUAAUUAUUUAUAAUGAUAAUGAUUAAGAAUCAUCUUACCAUUGCAUAAUGGUAAGGCAAACUAAGCAGACAGUCUUAGGAUUUUAAUUGGACAUUUAGGCUAGUUUUGCAUUCUGCUGGACCUCUCUCAAAGGGUAUUGUCCUUUGCUGGUUUUCUAUGUGUACUAUUUGGUCAGUUCUCAAAUGUUAUCUAGACUACAGUUUAUUAUAAGAUAGUACCUCUCUUGUACUACAGUCCAUCUUUUCACACCAAAAACCUUGUUGUUCAAGCCAGACAUCUUUUUUCUCUUAUUGUACCAUAGUAAUUGGGAAUUGGGAAUGUUUUCUUUCUUUUCUCUUUCUUUCUCUCUCUCUUUCUUUCUUUUUGUCUUUUUUAAGAGGUUUUGUACCAAUGAUUAUAAAAAUAAUAAGAGAAGGUAAAUGAAAAGAAAGAUCUGAACAAUAACUAAUUUCUCACUGCCAGUGUUUAACUUUGC